UCUGAAUAUAUUGAUGCAUCUUAAGUACUGAGACCAGGCUACCGUGUGAUAAGUCUUACAGUGUCUGUGGUCCUAAAUACUAAAAAGUUCUUCUUUACAGGGCGUCUUGUGUUCGAAUCGUUAAGAUCAUCAAGAUACAGCCAGGGCCCAUCUUAUAUAGAUGCCUUCAGAAUGAACCAGAUUUCCAUAGUCGGGCUUUCCAAGUGGAACUUGCAACACUUUAAUGCAGAUGCUUAAGUGGGACCACCUGCCUUGUGGAGAAGGCCUUAAUAAACAAGGUGUCGGAUUCUGCAAACUUAACUACAGAUGCACAGCUGAGAUCCCUUUUCACUACCAUGUCACACUGGCCUGUGUUUUUGAAGAGAUGCCAAUGUAUUACCAGGAAAAAAGAAUAUUAUCAAGAUCUUUUUAAAGAUUAUCUGUAAUACUGCCAAACCCAGUGAGCUGCCUGAACAAGUACUCCGGACUUCUAUACUAUGUAAACAAGCACAUCCAGGGAAAUGCUGUGUCUAAAACACUGGUAAUCUUCAGGUUGCAUGCUAUCCAAACUCCCUGCCGAAGUUGAGAUGAAGACUUGCUACCUCACUGAAGAGGAUAUAUUAAUG